rnacentral:tRNA from 2 species
AGGAGCUUAGGAUAAACAUAAACCCGGAGCCUUCAAAGCCCCAAACAAGAGCCCAGACCUCUUAGCUCCUG